UACAGAGGUCUCAAGCGUUGUUCGGAUUCAUUGGGCGUAAAGGGUGUGUAGGUGGCGCUGUAAGUCGGGUGUGAAAUCUCGGGGCUUAACUCCGAAACUGCAUUCGAUACUGCGGUGCUUGAGGACUGGAGAGGAGACUGGAAUUCAUGGUGUAGCAGUGAAAUGCGUAGAGAUCAUGAGGAAGACCAGUGGCGAAGGCGGGUCUCUGGACAGUUCCUGACACUGAGACACGAAGGCCAGGGGAGCAAACGGG
rnacentral:rRNA from 1 species